rnacentral:rRNA from 1 species
UACGGGGGGGCAAGCGUUGUUCGGAAUUACGUGGGCGUAAAGGGCUCGUAGGCGGCCAACUAAGUCGGACGUGGAAAUCCCCAGGCUCAACCUGGGAACUGCGUCCGAUACUGGAUGGCUUGAAUUCGGGAGAGGGAUGCAGAAUUCCAGGUGUAGCGGUGGAAAUGCGUAGAUAUCUGGAGGAAUACCGGUGGCGAAGGCGGCAUCCUGGACCGACAUUGACGCUGAUGAGCGAAAGCCAGGGGAGCAA